AAGGGGCUUGGCCCCGAUGGCGGUGGCUCAGUCACGUAUUUAUUAACUGGUCCACCGCUAUCGGGGCCAAGCCCCCU
rnacentral:misc_RNA from 1 species